rnacentral:rRNA from 1 species
UACGAAGGGGGCUAGCGUUGUUCGGAAUUACUGGGCGUAAAGCGUGCGCAGGCGGCUUCUCAAGUCAGGGGUGAAAGCCCAGAGCUCAACUCUGGAAUUGCCUUUGAGACUGAGUGGCUUGAGUACGAGAGAGGUGAGUGGAAUUCCCAGUGUAGAGGUGAAAUUCGUAGAUAUUGGGAAGAACACCAGUGGCGAAGGCGACUGACUGGACAUGUAUUGACGCUGAGGUGCGAAAGCGUGGGGAGCAAACAGG